AGGUACAUAUAGAAGCCGGUAUAAAUUGACGUCCAUUGCAUCGAGUGCAUUCGAAGGAAGCCGUCAGUUAAGAGUUUCACUUGCAAUUUACAAGUAAAAUUGUAUUCAAAAUGCCUUGCGGUGGUUGCGGAGAUGCUUGCAAAUGCAGCGCGAGUCAGUGUUGCCAGAGCUGUAAAUGCGACUCAUCUUGUUCGUGUUCUUGCAAACGAGCUACACCAACGGCCACGACUACUGCCACUAAAAAGUAGACAAUAAUGAUUAUAACAGAAGAACAUGCGUUAUAUAAUAAGUUUUCAUCUUUUGUUUGAUACUUGUGAAAAUAUGUAAGAUUCCUAAAAUUUGUAUUUGUCUUAAAUUUAACAAUAAGUCUGGAAUGUUCCUCCAUUCAAUUGUAUUGUAUGCAGAAGUGCAUCUUAGCAUCGAUUCUUUGGAUACCAGUUGAGUUAUUUAAACCAUUAAUAGCGGAUAUAUACUACCUUAUUAUGUAACAAAAACAUUUUUUUAACUUUUAUUGUAUAAGUGGUCGCUUUGUCUUUUUGAUUUUCUUAAACUAUCAAGAUAUAGUUUACUUUAGUUGCUUACGAUCUAUUUGCUUUUACAAUUGUCUACUCGUCUAUAUUCGAAUCAUGUAUGUAUGUUUUGAAUUAUCUUAUUACUUCAAACUAAAUAAACAUCAAUGAAAAUUUGCUA